GAAUGCUGACAUAAGUAACGAUAAAGCGGGUGAAAAGCCCGCUCGCCGGAAGACCAAGGGUUCCUGUCCAACGUUAAUCGGGGCAGGGUGAGUCGACCCCUAAGGCGAGGCCGAAAGGCGUAGUCGAUGGGAAACGGGUUAAUAUUCCCGUACUUGGUGUUACUGCGAAGGGGGGACGGAGAAGGCUAUGUUGGCCGGGCGACGGUUGUCCCGGUUUAAGCGUGUAGGUGUGUGUUCCAGGUAAAUCCGGUUCACUUUAACACUGAGGCGUGACGACGAGGCACUACGGUGCUGAAGCAACAAAUGCCCUGCUUCCAGGAAAAGCCUCUAAGCAUCAGGUAACAUCAAAUCGUACCCCAAACCGACACAGGUGGUCAGGUAGAGAAUACCAAGGCGCUUGAGAGAACUCGGGUGAAGGAACUAGGCAAAAUGGUGCCGUAACUUCGGGAGAAGGCACGCUGACACGUAGGUGAAGUGAUUUACUCAUGGAGCUGAAGUCAGUCGAAGAUACCAGCUGGCUGCAACUGUUUAUUAAAAACACAGCACUGUGCAAACACGAAAGUGGACGUAUACGGUGUGACGCCUGCCCGGUGCCGGAAGGUUAAUUGAUGGGGUCAGCGCAAGCGAAGCUCCUGAUCGAAGCCCCGGUAAACGGCGGCCGUAACUAUAACGGUCCUAAGGUAGCGAAAUUCCUUGUCGGGUAAGUUCCGACCUGCACGAAUGGCGUAAUGAUGGCCAGGCUGUCUCCACCCGAGACUCAGUGAAAUUGAACUCGCUGUGAAGAUGCAGUGUACCCGCGGCAAGACGGAAAGACCCCGUGAACCUUUACUAUAGCUUGACACUGAACAUUGAGCCUUGAUGUGUAGGAUAGGUGGGAGGCUUUGAAGUGUGGACGCCAGUCUGCAUGGAGCCGACCUUGAAAUACCACCCUUUAAUGUUUGAUGUUCUAACGUGGACCCGUGAUCCGGGUUGCGGACAGUGUCUGGUGGGUAGUUUGACUGGGGCGGUCUCCUCCUAAAGAGUAACGGAGGAGCACGAAGGUUGGCUAAUCCUGGUCGGACAUCAGGA
rnacentral:rRNA from 1 species